CAAGAUUAAAACUCAAAGGAAUUGACGGGGCCCCGCACAAGCAGCGGAGCAUGCGGCUUAAUUCGACGCAACGCGAAGAACCUUACCAAGGCUUGACAUAUACAGGAAUAUGGCAGAGAUGUCAUAGCCGCAAGGUCUGUAUACAGGUGGUGCAUGGUUGUCGUCAGCUCGUGUCGUGAGAUGUUGGGUUAAGUCCCGCAACGAGCGCAACCCUCGUUCUGUGUUGCCAGCAUUUAGUUGGGGACUCACAGGAGACUGCCGGGGUUAACUCGGAGGAAGGUGGGGAUGACGUCAAAUCAUCAUGCCCCUUAUGUCUUGGGCUGCACGCAUGCUACAAUGGCUGGUACAAACGGCUGCGAUACCGCAAGGUGGAGCGAAUCCGAUAAAGCCAGUCUCAGUUCGGAUUGGGGUCCGCAACUCGACCCCAUGAAGUCGGAGUUGCUAGUAAUCGUAGAUCAGCAACGCUACGGUGAAUACGUUCCCGGGGCUUGUACACACCGCCCGUCACGUCACGAAAGUCGGUAACACCC
rnacentral:rRNA from 1 species